rnacentral:miRNA from 1 species
AAUGUUGUGUACUGUGCACU